UGUCUGCGAAAUACGUGAUACAGCUGC
rnacentral:piRNA from 2 species